rnacentral:rRNA from 1 species
UCUAGUUGCCAUCAUUCAGUUGGGCACUCUAGCGAGACUGCCGGUAAUAAACCGGAGGAAGUGGGGAUGACGUCAAAUCAUCAUGCCCCUUAUGACCUGGGCUACACACGUGCUACAAUGGUUGGUACAACGAGUUGCGAGUCGGUGACGGCGAGCUAAUCUCUUAAAGCCAAUCUCAGUUCGGAUUGUAGGCUGCAACUCGCCUACAUGAAGUCGGAAUCGCUAGUAAUCGCGGAUCAGCACGCCGCGGUGAAUACGUUCCCGGGCCUU